rnacentral:tRNA from 1 species
GUGGCUCAGCUUGGCUAGAGCGCCUGGUUUGGGACCAGGAGGUCGCAGGUUCGAAUCCUGUCACCCCG